GACGAACGCUGGCGGCGCGCUUAACACAUGCAAGUCGAACGGAAAGGCCUGCUUUCCCUUGUGGAUUGCGGGUACUCGAGUGGCGAACGGGUGAGUAACACGUGAGUGAUCUGCCCCCAACUUGGGUAUAAGCCUGGGAAACUGGGUCUAAUUCCCGAUAGGACUGCAGGGUGGUGCCUGUGGUGGAAAACGAUUUUCUAGUGGUUGGGGAUGAGCUCGCGGCCUAUCAGCUUGUUGGUGGGGUAAUGGCCUACCAAGGCGGCGACGGGUAGCCGGCCUGAGAGGGUGGACGGCCACAUUGGGACUGAGAUACGGCCCAGACUCCUACGGGAGGCAGCAGUGGGGAAUAUUGCACAAUGGGCGGAAGCCGGAUGCAGCGACGCCGCGUGGGGGAUGACGGCCUUCGGGUUGUAAACUCCUUUCGACCGCGAGGAAGCCACCUGGUUGGAAGGGUGGUGACGGUAGUGGUAGAAGAAACACCGGCGAACUACGU
rnacentral:rRNA from 1 species